GACGAACGCUGGCGGCGUGCUUAACACAUGCAAGUCGAGCGAUGAAGUUCCUUCGGGAAUGGAUUAGCGGCGGACGGGUGGGUAACACGUGGGUAACCUGCCUCAUAGAGGGGAAUAGCCUUUCGAAAGGAAGAUUAAUACCGCAUAAGAUUGUAGUAUCGCAUGAUACAGCAAUUAAAGGAGUAAUCCGCUAUGAGAUGGACCCGCGUCGCAUUAGCUAGUUGGUGAGGUAACGGCUCACCAAGGCGACGAUGCGUAGCCGACCUGAGAGGGUGAUCGGCCACAUUGGGACUGAGACACGGCCCAGACUCCUACGGGAGGCAGCAGUGGGGAAUAUUGCACAAUGGGGGAAACCUGAUGCAGCAACGCCGCGUGAGUGAUGACGGUCUUCGGAUUGUAAAACUCUGUCUUCAGGGACGAUAAUGACGGUACCUGAGGAGGAAGCCACGGCUAACUACGUGCCAGCCGCCGCGGUAA
rnacentral:rRNA from 1 species